UGAAAAUCGGGCCGCCGCCCCCCCAGGUGUGAGCCGGGUGCCCUGGCGAAAUCGGCUCAAAACAAAGUGACGUUUGUCAAGAAUGUGGAGUAAUGAUUUAGGAUUCAGUGUUGUUUGCUCUUGGUAAAAAAAAACUAAUAUUUACCUUAUUUGCCUUCCCAAGUAAAACUAGUAAAAUUCUAUCAUAUACUUUAUGGAAAAUACAUGUUGCAUAUUUCUGAACAAUGAACCGUGAUGUCUUGUUGACGAUAUGACUUGGCGGCGCAGAUUACUGUUCGUGUUGAGCAGGGCGCUCCUCCUCCCUCUCCGCUUUCGGGCCAUGUCACGAGCCAUAGCCCGGUGCACCCCGGUCCAGUUGAAUUAAACUCCCUCAAUAUAACUCUACUCUAUGACAUGGAAACUAUGAUGUAAUUUCUGUGUACGGGCAACCCCAACAGCUCCUCCAGCAGAAGCUGCUUCCUCCUGCCUUCCAGAUGCUGCUGACCAAGUUGUCCACCAUCUGACAGGCGGUUCUGGCUGAUGACCUGUCGCCAUAGCUGAUAGAAACCCAGAAGGAAUAUCAUCCCCAAUGAUACUGCUAAUAUUAGUAACUGUACUGAUGAGGAACAGGAGGGCAGGCUUAUCCAUUGUCCCUGAACUGCUUGAAGUGUAGAGUCAAAAUGACAGUGCCACUUUGUUACCGCUAGUCACAUGUUUGAGAAGAUGUUCUGCAAAAAUAAUAACAAUACAGAGAUGGUCUUGCUCUUCAAUGAGGUUCUGACAAUCAUAUGUUGGAAUCCAUUAUAAAGAAAACCUACAGUAGUUGAACACUCUGUGUAGGUAGUAACCUGUUUGUUGAACGCCAGUGAUUCUAAGAACAAAAAUAACUGUUACCUGUAGGACAAUGUCUCUAUCACAGGUCACCAAGGGUACAACAAGGCAUAUCCUUAAUAAAAUACAUUUUCAUGGCUAA
ensembl:lncRNA